rnacentral:rRNA from 1 species
CAAUAGCGUAUAUUAAAGUUGUUGCGGUAAAAAAGCUCGUAGUUGGAUUUCUACCGAAGAUAGCCGGUCGGGUCUUCGACCUUGUAUCUGGUUUUGUCUUUGGUAUCCUCAUAGGGAACGUUUCUGCGCUUUAUUGCGUGGUGCGGUAGCUAUGACUUUUACUUUGAGGAAAUUAGAGUGUUCACGGCAGGCAAACGCCUUGAAUAUAUUAGCAUGGAAUAAUAACAUAGGAUCUUCGUCCUAUUUUGUUGGUUUCUAGGGCUAAGAUAAUGAUUAAUAGGGAUAAUUGGGGGCAUCUGUAUCAACGCGUCAGAGGUGGAAUUCUUGGAUUGCGUUGCGACAAACUACUGCGAAAGCAUUUGCCAAGGAUGUUUUCAUUGA